AACGAACGCUGGCGGCAUGCCUAACACAUGCAAGUCGAACGAGACCUUCGGGUCUAGUGGCGCUCGGGUGCUUAACGCGUGGGAAGUUGCCCUUAGGUUCGGAAUACCUCCCUGUAAGGGGUGCUAAUACCGGUUAAUGUCAUCGGACCAAAGAUUUGUCGCUUGUGGAUGGGCGGGCGUCUGAUUCGCUAGUUGGUGGGGUAGUGGCCUACCAUGGCGUUGAUGGGUAGGCGGUCUGAGAGGAUGACCGGCCACACUGGGACUGAGAUACGGCCCAGACUCCUACGGGAGGCAGCAGUGGGGAAUAUUGCACAAUGGGCGGAAGCCUGAUGCAGCAACGCCGCGUGCGGGAUGACGGCCUUCGGGUUGUAAACCGCUUUCGCCUGUGACGAAGCGUGAGUGACGGUAAUGGGUAAAGAAGCACCGGCUAACUACGUG
rnacentral:rRNA from 1 species